UAAACUGGGAUUAGAUACCCCACUAUGCUUAGCCCUAAACCUUAAUAAUUCAUAACAAAACUAUUUGCCCGAGAACUACUGGCCACCGCUUAAAACUCAAAGGACUUGGCGGUACUUUAUAUCCAUCUAGAGGAGCCUGUUCUAUAAUCGAUAAACCCCGUUAUACCUUACCAUCCCUUGCUAAUUCAGCCUAUAUACCGCCAUCUUCAGCAAACCUUAAAAAAGAACAACAGUAAGCAAGAGAAUCACCAUAAAAACGUUAGGUCAAGGUGUAGCCUAUGAGAUGGGAAGUAAUGGGCUACAUUUUCUUUAAAAGAACAUUACGGAACCCCUUAUGAAAUCUAAAGGGCAAAGGAGGAUUUAGUAGUAAAUUAAGAAUAGAGAGCUUAAUUGAAUAGCGCAAUGAAGUACGCACACACCGCCCGUCACCCUCCUCAAAUUAGACAAACACAAUACAAAUACAUAAUACCAUUAACAAGUCCAUGAGAGGAGAUAAGUCGUAACAAGGUAAGCAUACUGGAAAGUGA
rnacentral:rRNA from 1 species